CUUUAUUAUGUCUUAGUAUUUUGACAUGGUCAAGUGUUAUCAUUGUGUUUACUGAAUGAAAUUAUUGUUUGCAAAAGCAUACUGACCGAUCAGAAAGCAGACUCCUUGCAACAUCUGUAUCUGGUGUACGCAAGGCAGUCUUUUGUGGAAAAGUUAUCCAGUGGGCCCUGCCCACAUCUCUUUCCCUUUUGGCACAGACAUGGUGCUUUACUUUAGUUAGAGAGAGAAGUGAAAAGCUGAUCAGCUGAAUUAGGCCAGAAUCACUAUACUCCAGAACAAGUAUCAAUUAUGAGCAGGCCCUAACUCUAUUCAAAUACUCACCCUGAAUGGAAAAAAAAGAAAAGCAACAACAACAACCAGGAAGAAACCUCCCUAACGGGGAGGGUCACUCAGCAAAGACUGUGAAUCAGUAACUCUCGAUCACUGCUCAUUUGAUGGGGAAAAAUUC
rnacentral:lncRNA from 1 species